GUACUGCUGAGGUGUCCUAUACUGGGACGAAACGACCGUCUAGUAC
rnacentral:hammerhead_ribozyme from 1 species